rnacentral:tRNA from 1 species
AGUAAGUUGGCAGAAUAGUGCCACAGGUUUAAAC